rnacentral:rRNA from 1 species
AUUGAACGCUGGCGGCAGGCCUAACACAUGCAAGUCGAGCGGAUGAAGGGAGCUUGCUCCUGGAUUCAGCGGCGGACGGGUGAGUAAUGCCUAGGAAUCUGCCUGGUAGUGGGGGAUAACGUCCGGAAACGGGCGCUAAUACCGCAUACGUCCUGAGGGAGAAAGUGGGGGAUCUUCGGACCUCACGCUAUCAGAUGAGCCUAGGUCGGAUUAGCUAGUUGGUGGGGUAAAGGCCUACCAAGGCGACGAUCCGUAACUGGUCUGAGAGGAUGAUCAGUCAACCGGGACUUGAGACAGGGUCCAGCCCCCUACGGGGGGCAGGAGGGGGGAAUUUUGGAAAAGGGGGGAAACCCUGACCCAGCCAUGCCGCGUGGGUGAAGAAGGUUUUCGGAUUGUAAAGCACUUUAAGUUGGGAGGAAGGGAAGUAAGUUAAUACCUUGCUUUUUUGACUUUACCAACAGAAUAAGCACCGGCUAACUUCGU